GAGUUUGAUCCUGGUUCAGAUUGAACGUUAGGGGAUGCCUUACACAUGCAAGUCGAACGGCAGCACGGACUUCGGUCUGGUGGCGAGUGGCGAACGGGUGAGUAAUGUAUCGGAACGUGCCCAGUAGCGGGGGAUAACUACGCGAAAGCGUAGCUAAUACCGCAUACGCUCUACGGGGGAAAGCAGGGGAUCGUAAGACCUUGCACUAUUGGAGCGGCCGAUAUCGGAUUAGCUAGUUGGUGGGGUAACGGCUCACCAAGGCGACGAUCCGUAGCUGGUUUGAGAGGACGACCAGCCACACUGGGACUGAGACACGGCCCAGACUCCUACGGGAGGCAGCAGUGGGGAAUUUUGGACAAUGGGGGAAACCCUGAUCCAGCCAUCCCGCGUGUGCGAUGAAGGCCUUCGGGUUGUAAAGCACUUUUGGCAGGAAAGAAACGUCAUGGGUUAAUACCCCGUGAAACUGACGGUACCUGCAGAAUAAGCACCGGCUAACUACGUGCCAGCAGCCGCGGUAAUACGUAGGGUGCAAGCGUUAAUCGGAAUUACUGGGCGUAAAGCGUGCGCAGGCGGUUCGGAAAGAAAGAUGUGAAAUCCCAGAGCUUAACUUUGGAACUGCAUUUUUAACUACCGGGCUAGAGUGUGUCAGAGGGAGGUGGAAUUCCGCGUGUAGCAGUGAAAUGCGUAGAUAUGCG
rnacentral:rRNA from 1 species